rnacentral:rRNA from 1 species
CAGUACCGCGGGAAUACGUAGGGUGCAAGCGUUAAUCGGAAUUACUGGGCGUAAAGCGUGCGCAGGCGGUUAUAUAAGACAGAUGUGAAAUCCCCGGGCUCAACCUGGGAACUGCAUUUGUGACUGUAUGGCUAGAGUGUGUCAGAGGGGGGUAGAAUUCCACGUGUAGCAGUGAAAUGCGUAGAUAUGUGGAGGAAUACCGAUGGCGAAGGCAGCCCCCUGGGAUAACACUGACGCUCAUGCACGAAAGCGUGGGGAGCAAACAGGAUUAGAUACCCCGGUAGUCCCUGUCUCUUAUACC